ACUCUAGGUCCAGCUAAAACUCUACCUCCAGCCCCCAACAUGAAGUUCCAAGUGCAGCCUGGGGGACAUGGUAUACAGUGAGACUACUCAUUCCCUGACCCAAGACGCUUGACUUCCAGUAACAGCACCCAUGAUGACACCAGAUGGAACACGUACCUGACCAACGCCUUCAAAGGAUCAUUUUCUGGAUGGAAUUAAUGCCUUGGAAACAGCACAGACUCAAGCUGUGUUAUCCUACGCGGGUUCCUGAAGCCUUCCUCUGAGGAUGCUGCCUGCACGUCAGCCGGAGCUCCCUCCCCGGCCUCCCAAGCCCCAGGGCACUCUCCCUGGAAGCAGGGACGGUCCCUGAUGCAAGAGACUGGGAGGCCUUGCAGGAGCGUCUUACUCUGCAAAGUGCCCGGAAAGGAACUGUUUCACCUAAGUGGAUUCUCCAGACCACCCAGACUUGCCCUACAUCUCCACACCUGACAAAACGUCUAUGGAGAACUUUCCAAAUCUGUCUUAUUUAUGAUGGUGGCCCUUGAGAGGAAGAAGGGAAGCCCCAGUCGGGGUCCCCAGUUGUGUGAGCUCACUUGUGUCACUGCCUCAGACAUCAGAGCCCAUAUUACUGCCUCUGGGUCUCAUAAACUUGUCCCCUGCCAGGUCCCCUGGGUCCUACUGCUGGGUUAAUCUUCUUGAGUCAAAACUCUGGCCAUAGACCUCACUGCUCCAACCCCACGACACCCCAGCAACCGGUAGAACAGUGAAGGCAGUGGCCUGGCCACCAGGGCCCAAGCAGCCUCUGCAGUCUUUUCUCCCCUUUCUCCUUCCUGAGCCCUCCCCUGCAGGGGUCAGAUGUUCCUGACAUGGGCCAUGCCUUCAGGCCCACAGUCACCUCUUCCAGGAACAUC